rnacentral:rRNA from 1 species
GAUGAACGCUGGCGGCGUGCCUAAUACAUGCAAGUCGAGCGAACGGACGAGAAGCUUGCUUCUCUGAUGUUAGCGGCGGGCGGGUGAGUAACACGUGGAUAACCUACCUAUAAGACUGGGAUAACUUCGGGAAACCGGAGCUAAUACCGGAUAAUAUUUUGAACCGCAUGGUUCAAAAGUGAAAGACGGUCUUGCUGUCACUUAUAGAUGGAUCCGCGCUGCAUUAGCUAGUUGGUAAGGUAACGGCUUACCAAGGCAACGAUGCAUAGCCGACCUGAGAGGGUGAUCGGCCACACUGGAACUGAGACACGGUCCAGACUCCUACGGGAGGCAGCAGUAGGGAAUCUUCCGCAAUGGGCGAAAGCCUGACGGAGCAACGCCGCGUGAGUGAUGAAGGUCUUCGGAUCGUAAAACUCUGUUAUUAGGGAAGAACAUAUGUGUAAGUAACUGUGCACAUCUUGACGGUACCUAAUCAGAAAGCCACGGCUAACUACGUG